CAACUACUCCCUCUGUCCUAAAUUUCUUGUCUUAGAUUUGUCUAGAUACGGAUGUAUCUAAUACUAAAAUGUGACUUGAUACAUCCGUAUCUAGACAAAUCUAAGACAAGAAUUUUGGGAUGGAGGGAGUACUUU
rnacentral:pre_miRNA from 1 species